UGGGGAAUAUUGGACAAUGGGCGCAAGCCUGAUCCAGCCAUGCCGCGUGUGUGAAGAAGGCCUUAUGGUUGUAAAGCACUUUAAGCGAGGAGGAGGCUACUUUAGUUAAUACCUAGAGAUAGUGGACGUUACUCGCAGAAUAAGCACCGGCUAACUCUGUGCCAGCAGCCGCGGUAAUACAGAGGGUGCAAGCGUUAAUCGGAUUUACUGGGCGUAAAGCGCGCGUAGGCGGCUAAUUAAGUCAAAUGUGAAAUCCCCGAGCUUAACUUGGGAAUUGCAUUCGAUACUGGUUAGCUAGAGUGUGGGAGAGGAUGGUAGAAUUCCAGGUGUAGCGGAGAAAUGCGUAGAGAUCUGGAGGAAUACCGAUGGCGAAGGCAGCCAUCUGGCCUAACACUGACGCUGAGGUGCGAAAGCAUGGGGAGCAAACAGG
rnacentral:rRNA from 1 species